rnacentral:lncRNA from 1 species
AUCCAUCCCAGGGCAGCCCCUUUCCCCCACCUGCCAAGCCCAAGUGUGUGCUCCUUGCCCACCGUCGGUUUCUGGAGUCUGCGGGUGGGUGUUUAGAUAGCGCCAUCCGUUGCGGCGUUUAGAGUCCACCAACAGGUGAUGUCCUAGGGCACUUGUCUUUGCCUUUCUGGCUUCCUUCGCUUAGUAUGAGGGUCUCUCGUUCCAGCCCCGCGGCGGCAGAUGGCACUCGUUCUGCCGCUUUUUCCUGGCUGUGUGCGAUGCCAUCGCAUGGAUGUCCCCGGGCCUUCGAAGUGCACUCACCUGUCAGUGGACCUUUAGGUGGCUUCCAGAUCUUGGCUCUGCCCCGCGGCGGCAGAUGGCACUCGUUCUGCCGCUUUUUCCUGGCUGUGUGCGAUGCCAUCCCCGGGCCUUCGAAGUGCACUCACCUGUCAGUGGACCUUUAGGUGGCUUCCAGAUCUUGGCUCUGGUGAGUAGUGCGGCGACAGACAGAGGGUGCCCGGGUCUGCUUCCGGGAAAGUUUGGUCCCGGUGAAAUGGAGCUGUUUGGAGGCCGGCUUCGGUCUUUGUGUG